ACACAUGCAAGUCGAGCGAAGCACUUAAGUUUGAUUCUUCGGAUGAAGACUUUUGUGACUGAGCGGCGGACGGGUGAGUAACGCGUGGGUAACCUGCCUCAUACAGGGGGAUAACAGUUAGAAAUGGCUGCUAAUACCGCAUAAGACCACAGUACUGCAUGGUACAGUGGUAAAAACUCCGGUGGUAUGAGAUGGACCCGCGUCUGAUUAGGUAGUUGGUGAGGUAACGGCCCACCAAGCCGACGAUCAGUAGCCGACCUGAGAGGGUGACCGGCCACAUUGGGACUGAGACACGGCCCAGACUCCUACGGGAGGCAGCAGUGGGGAAUAUUGCACAAUGGGCGAAAGCCUGAUGCAGCGACGCCGCGUGAAGGAUGAAGUAUUUCGGUAUGUAAACUUCUAUCAGCAGGGAAGAAAAUGACGGUACCUGACUAAGAAGCCCCGGCUAACUACGUGCCAGCAGCCGCGGUAAUACGUAGGGGGCAAGCGUUAUCCGGAUUUACUGGGUGUAAAGGGAGCGUAGACGGCUGUGCAAGUCUGAAGUGAAAGGCAUGGGCUCAACCUGUGGACUGCUUUGGAAACUGUGCAGCUAGAGUGUCGGAGAGGUAAGUGGAAUUCCUAGUGUAGCGGUGAAAUGCGUAGAUAUUAGGAGGAACACCAGUGGCGAA
rnacentral:rRNA from 1 species